rnacentral:ncRNA from 2 species
UUCUUAUCCAGAGAGGUGGAGGGACUUGGCCCUGCGAUACCUCGGCAACAGACUCAACUCUGAGCACUGUGCCACAUCCAACAAGCGAAGGCUUGGAAGAUAAGAA